AGCCUCCGGAGUAGCUGGGACUACAGGCGCCCGCCACCGCGCCUGGCUAAUUUUUUUUUGUAUUUUUUUAGUAGAGAUGGCGUUUCACCGUGGUCUCCAUCUCCUCACCUCGUGAUCCGCCCGCCUCGGCCUCCCAAAGUGCUGGGAUUACAGGCGUGAGCCACCGCGCCCGGCCAGAAGUCAGCUUUUUUCUUAAUUGGAGAUGGGGUUUCACCACGUUGGCUGGGCUGGUCUCGAACUCCUGACCUCAGGUAAUCUGCCCGCCUUGGCCUCCCAAAGUGCUUGGAUUACGUGCAUGAGCCACCGUGACCAGCUGACCAUCUCUCAUUAUUAAUAAGAACAUCACAGACAAGGAUUCCACAUAUUUAUAAAAUUUCAUGUUAUCUCAAAGGUGGAGCUCCGGUUUCUUGCUGAGCCAGGAAUCACCUAUUGCUAUCUGAUUUGCGGGGGACACAAAGAAGGAGGAAAAAUCACCAGGGUGAAGGAAGGCAUGAAGAGAAGGACUGCACUUGAGUUCAAUGCCUCACAAGUAAUAUUCAAACUCUAAAAGGUGAAGGAUGAACAGAGGACCCUAAAAGCAGCAAGAAAAAAUAAGAAAAUAGCAGAUAAAGAAGCUCCUCAAUGUGUUGAAGCAGACUUCUCAGCAGAAAUCACGCAGUCAGGAAGGAGUGGGUGACAUAUUUAAAGGCUGAAAUACAAAAACAAAAACAGAAACAAAAAACUGCCAACACAGAAUGAUGUAUCCAGCAAAACUAUCCUCAAACAUGGAGCAGAAAUAAAGAUUUUGCCAGGCAAAGAAAAGUUGAGGGAAUGUGUGACCACCAGAUCCACCUUAGAAGAAGUACUAAAUAAAAUACUGCAAUUUAAAUGGAAAGGACAGUAAUAUUUAACAACAAAAUUUAAAGGCAUAAAACUCAAUGAUAAAAGUAAAUGUCAGACAAAUUCAGAAUACUCCAAUGAUGUAAUUGUGGUUUGUAAACCUGUCAUAUAUUUAACAUAAAAAGUAAAAGACAAAAUUAUUAACAAUAAUAAAAAUAAAAAUAUAUUGAGGUAAACAAUAUAAAAGAUGUAAAUUGAGACAUCUAGAAGUCAAAAUAUUUAUGCCUGGGGGAGAGAUGCAGAAAAUGAAGUUAAUAUGGAGAGUUUCUGUAUUUUAGAGUUUCUUGCUUUAGAGUUUCUUUAUUUCCAUUCUUAUACUGUGAUCAAAGUUAAGAGGUCAUCAGUUUAAAAUAAGGUGUUGUAAUUAUAAUGUGUUACUUGCCUUGAAGUAGUCUUAUUUGAGUUAAAUCUUUGGUGAUCUCCGAAACUCCUUCACUUGGAUAUCUAUGUAUUUAUUCUAGGCUUGGAAAGUUUUCUGUUAUUAUUUCUUUCAAUAAUCUUUCUACCCUUUACUCCUUCUCAACUCCCUUUUGAAGGUCAAUGACUCUUAGAUUUGUAUUUUUGAGGCUGUUUUCUAGAUUUUAUGUUUUUCAUUUUUUGUUCUUUUCCUGUUUUCUUCUCUGACUUUUUUUUUUUUGACUUUUUUUUUUUUAAUUUAUAAAGAAAAGAGGUUUAAUUGACUCCCAGUUCCACAUGGCUGGGGAGACCUCAGGAAACUUACAAUCAUGGCAGGAGGCAAAAGGGAAGCAAGGCACAUCUUACAUGGCAGCAGGCAAGAGAGAGGAGAGGAACUGCCAAACACUUUUAAAUCAUCAGAACUCAUGAGAACUCACUAUCACAAGAACAGCAUGGGUGAAACCACCCGCAUGAUCCAAUCACUUCCCACCAGGUCCCUCCCUCGACAUGUGGGGAUUACAGUUCGAGAUGAAAUUUGGGUGGUGACACAGAGCCAAACCAUAUCACAUGUGGUGUUUAACUUUCUGUUCCUAGUUUAUUUCACUUAAUGUCCUCCAGUUCCAUCCACAUUGUGAAUGACAGGAUUCCAUUCCUUUUUUGUUGUUGUUGUGAGACAGGAUAUUUGCUCAGUUACCCAGGCUGGAGUGCAGUGGCUCGAUCACAACUCACUGUGGCCUUGAUCUUCCAAGCCCAAGUGAUUCUCCUGCCUAAGCCUCCUGAGUAGCUGUGACUACAGGUGUGCACCUCCAUGUCUGGCUACUUUUUGUAUUUUUUGUAGAGAUGGGUUUUUGCCACGUUGCCCCGGUUGUUCUUGAACUCCUCAGCUCAAGUGAUCCUCUGAUCUCAGCCUCCCAAAGUGCUGGGAUUACACGCGUGAGCCACUGCACCUGGCCAUAGAAUUUCAUUCUUUUUUUUUUCCCUGACUUUUUGAUAUUUCUAAAUAGCUGUCUUUGAGCUCACUGAUGUUUUUUCUUCUGCUCGAUCAAUUUUGCUGUUGAGAACCUCAAAUGCAUCUUCAGCUCCAGGACUUCCAUUUGAUUUUUUUCGACCUCUUUGUCAAGUUUCUCUGAUAAAAUUUUGAAUUCCUUCUCUGUAUUUUCCUAAAGUUGGUUGAGCUUCCUUAAAGCAGUAAUUUUGAAUUAUCUGUCUGAGAGGUUACACAUAUCCCUCUAUUUAAAGUUGGUCACUGGCACCUUAUUUAGUUUGUUUCAUGAAGUCAUAAUGCCUUUCAUAUUUUGAUGCUUGUGAACAUUCAUCAAUGUCUGUGCAUCAAGGCAUUAGGUAUUUACUCUAGUCUUUGCCCUCAGACCUUGUUUGCUUUAUCAAGCAUAACAUCGAUGAAAAACUUGUAUCCAGAAAGAUACAUAGAAAGAACUCCUAAAACUCAGCAGUAAUAUAGGCAUUGUGAAAACACUGAUAUUCUGUUGAAAUGUGACCUCCAAUGUUGCAGGUAGGCCUAAUGCGAGAUGUUUGGGUCGUAGACAUGGAUCCUUCACGAAUGACUUGGUGUUGUCUUCACAGUAAUAAGUAAGUCCUUACUCUGUUAGCUCGUGAGAGAGCUGGUUGUUUAAAAGAGCUUGGCACUUUCUCUCUCUUGCUUGCUCCCUUCCUCACCAUGUGACAUGCUGGAUCCCUUCCCUUCUGCUAUGAGUAAAAGCUUCCUGAGGCCUCACCAGAAGCCAAGCAGAUACUGGUGCCAUGAUUGUACAGCACAUGCAGAACUAUGAGCCAAAUAAAAUUAUUUUCUUUAUACAUUUCCUAGC